GUGGGCUAAUCAGGAACUCUGAAAGCAGGUUGGAUUCAAGGAUCAGGCUGUGGUAUGACUGUGUCUUAGUUGCUAGCCUAUUGGAUUUCCAGACAUUGAAUAGGCUGACCUCCCUCUGAGAUUUUAAGGAAGUGUUAUUUCCAGAGACUCAGCAAGCCCUGCAAACAGGCUUGUGAUUGAUUGCUCAACCCCUGAGGCUGUCCCCAGGCCCCGUCAAAACCUCUACCAGAAGUUCUCCAGCAGCUCUUCCUGAACUUUAUGGGUAAGUUCAAGGCAAAGGUUCCAGGAAGUCAUAUUUUAGCCCGCCUCUGGCCCAAGCCCCAGUGCAGCAUGAUCAGUAGUGAGCCGAACACUGCAUUUUCAUCUCCAUCUGGCUUGUGUGUCGAACACACAAUUGAUUCUGAAUCUGGAAAGGAAGAACGCAUCAGGGUCUUUUCCAAUGAGUCAGCUCUUCACAUCAAGUGGCCAUAGUUCCCAAUUGCAGCAAAACUGUUUGGGAAGAAGAAGUUCCUAUUACCCAGGAAAUAAAGAUUGAGGAGGAGGGCAGAAUGAGAGAGGCUCUGUCUCCAAAUACAGUCAUGUUGGGAGUUUAAGCUUCAACAUUUGAAUUGGUAGAAGGAGAAGACACAAUUCAGUACAUUAAGACAUCCUGACAUGGGACUUUCCAGGAGGGAGACAUCAAUUCCAAGAUGCUUCCGCAGGGACUCUCCAUCACAAGCGUGAGAGCUGCUUAACCUGAGUCAAGAGAAGGAUGGAUGAUAGAAUCUGCUGAGAGACUUUUAGAAAUGGAAAGAAAAGCUACAGCAGAUGCAGCUGAGACAACAUGAAGAGCUGUCUUUCCUGAAUCCCAAACAGCAGCAGAUAAAAAGCAGAGAGUAAACGAAAAGUAAACUAAAUACAGGACCUGAAAUAGUGCUUCUUCACAACCAAAGUAUGACCUCUUCCCUGAAGAAACCACGUGUUAGCAGCACAUGUUCCUCCUACCACCAGCCCACCCUACUGCCAGCCUGGUGAUAGUUGGGGGUGGAGGGAAUAACAGCAUGAAUGCCUUAGGACUGGGCUUGAAUCUUCUGUUUUGGGGGUUUGGUGGGACUUGUUUGUUGGUAUUUAUACAGUGUUAUACAGAUAACAUUCUAUUAAUUACUUAAGUUCAAUUCCCCUGGAAAUGGAAAUGAUAUCAGAAACCCAUACCUGGAGAGAAAGAAUAAUUAUUUUGUUUGGCUUUGGUAACAUCCAUGAAAGAAUCUCCUUCUUUCUCAAAGCAGUAUAUCUCAGAGGAGGCAGCCUAUGUUUCUGUGUUCAAUUAAUAUCCAGUAGAUUACUGUGAAACUCUUGGUUCUGCUGUUUAAUUUUAAAAUUCCCCUUCAAUUUUCCUCCUUCAAUUGAACUGAUGUUCAGGUAAAGCUAUGAAACAAUCCAAAGACAAAUAAAAGGAAAGACAAACAGCAGUAAGUACCAUUUGGUGGUAUCUUUCCCAUGUCAGAUCUCUGCCAAGUGCUUUACCUGCAUUGUCUUAUUUCAUCUUUCCCACCAUCCUAUGAGAUUGGCAUUAUAAUCCCCAUUCUAUAAACAGGGAAACUGACAGGGUGGGUUGUUUCCAAAAGUCCCAUUCUAGCGAGUGAUAGAGCUAGGAUUCAAGGCCUAGCUCCAAGAGGAGCCUGGUGUGCUGCAGUCUAUGGAUUCAUGGCCUUAACCACCAUGCAAAUUUUAAUAUGGAAUGUGGAAAAAGUGAAAGGGAAGAAGGGCUACAGAAGAGAACUGAAAGAUGAUACUGGGUGUCAAAAUGACUGAUCAUUCUGAAGCAAGAAGGUAAUUGAGGAAGUACUAGGAUUAAAAACUUUAAGACUAAUGAGAGAUACAGAACUGAUGAGCAAUACCCGGAUAGUUAAUGUUUAGCCUCAUCUAUAAACACUCUGAACUGCUAAAAUGCAAAUUGAAACCACAGUGAGAUACCACCUCACACCUGUCAAAAUGGCUAUUAUCAAAAAUACCACAAAAAACAAGUGUUGCCAAGGAUGUAGAGAAAAGGAAAGCCUGUUAGUGGGAAUGUAAAUUGGUACAGUUACUAAGGAAAAUGGUUUCCUUAGUAUGGAGUUUACUCAAAAAAUUAAAAAUAGAACUACCAUACAACUUAGCAGUUUCACUCCUGAGUAUUCAUCCAAAGAAAGAGAAAAUAGUAACUUGAAAAGAUAUAAACACCCCUAUGUUUAUUGCAACAUUAUUUACAAUAGCAAGACAUGGAAAUAAUCCAGGUAUCAACUGAGGGAUAAAUGAAUAAGGAAAAUAUGGCAUAUCCAUAUGGUGGAAUAUUAUUCGGCCAUAAAAAGGAGUGAAAUCUUGCCAUUUGCAACAACAUGGAUUGAUACUAACAGUAUUAUGCUAAGUGAAAUAUGCCAAACAGAGAAAGACAAAUACUGUAUCAACUCACUAAUAUGUGGAAUCUAACAAACCUGAACUCAUAGAAACAGAGAGCACACUGGUGCCUGCCAGAAGCAAUCUAGGGUGGGAGAAGUGGGUGAAGAAAGUCAAAAGGUACAAACUUAAAGUUACAAAACAAUUAAGUCAUGGGUAUAUAUAAUGUGCGUAUGGUAAUUGUAGUUAAUAAUUGUAUAUUUUAAAGUUGCUAAGAAAAUAGAUCUUAAAAGCUCUCAUAAAAAGAAAAAAAAUGUAAUUAUGUGAGAUGAGGAUGCGACAGAGAAUGAGACGGUUAGAUAGCAUCACCAACUCAAUGGACUUGAAUCUAAGCAAACUCGGGGAAUAGUAGAGGAUGGAGGAGCCUGGUGUGCUGCAAUCUAUAGAAUUGCAAAGAGUUGGACACAACUUAGCAACUAAACAACAGCAACGUAAGGUGACAUGCUAACCAGACUUAUUGUGGAGAUCAUUAUACAUGUGGCAAUGCAUACAAAUAUUGAAUCUUUGUAAAACUAAUAUAUGAAUUACAUCUCAAUAAAAAA
ensembl:lncRNA